UGUUGUCUUCAGGGCAAGGUGAAAUUCCUGACCGGCGGUAAAUCAGUCCGCGAGCUUUUUAGCAGAAUCCACAAGGAUACCGAUAGUAUAGUCUAGAUGAAAGAAGACAGAC
rnacentral:ncRNA from 2 species